rnacentral:rRNA from 1 species
GAUGAACGCUGACAGAAUGCUUAACACAUGCAAGUCUACUUGAAUUUGGGUUUUUAACUUAGAUUUGGGUGGCGGACGGGUGAGUAACGCGUAAAGAACUUGCCUCACAGCUAGGGACAACAUUUAGAAAUGAAUGCUAAUACCUAAUAUUAUGAUAAUAGGGCAUCCUAUAAUUAUGAAAGCUAUAUGCGCUGUGAGAGAGCUUUGCGUCCCAUUAGCUAGUUGGAGAGGUAACGGCUCACCAAGGCGAUGAUGGGUAGCCGGCCUGAGAGGGUGAUCGGCCACAAGGGGACUGAGACACGGCCCUUACUCCUACGGGAGGCAGCAGUGGGGAAUAUUGCACAAUGGGGGAAACCCUGAUGCAGCGACGCCGCGUGAACGAAGAAGGUAUUCGUAUCGUAAAGUUCUGUCCUAUGGGAAGAUAAUGACAGUACCAUAGAAGAAAGCUCCGGCUAAAUACGUGCCAGCAGCCGCGGUAAUACGUAUGGAGCGAGCGUUGUCCGGAAUUAUUGGGCGUAAAGGGUACGCAGGCGGUUUAAUAAGUCGAAUGUUAAAGAUCGGGGCUCAACCCCGUAAAGCAUUGGAAACUGAUAAACUUGAGUAGUGGAGAGGAAAGUGGAAUUCCUAGUGUAGUGGUGAAAUACGUAGAUAUUAGGAGGAAUACCAGUAGCGAAGGCGACUUUCUGGACACAAACUGACGCUGAGGUACGAAAGCGUGGGGAGCAAACAGG